UUGAACCUAUUGUGAAAACUGUAGACAAACAGAAGAAUCUCAUGUUAACAACGUUUUCUAUUGUAAGUGUACUGUACAGCACAUUUCAAAAUAUCAUUCGUUAUAACGAUUACAAUAGAUUAACAUUAGAUUUCAUUGUUACAGUGUUUUCUAUGGGCAUACAGUAGAUUAACAUAAGAUUUCUUUGUUACAGUGUUUACUGAAGACAUACAGUAUAAUCACAUUAGAUUUCAUUGUUAUUUUUCAUUAAGUUUCACGCCGAACUCCAUGGCACUCAAUUUGGCCGAUUUGGCGUAACCGCGUAACCCUCACACAUUUUUGUGUUUGAAAUUUUAUGCGUGUUUGUUUUGAUGUCCUCCGGGUAUGUGAAGCGUAGUGUGUGAAGUGAUGGAAAGUUUGCUGCUUCCGAUCGAAUUCUGCGUGCGCCGAUAAAUCUCGGUACCCGCAUUCGGAAUGGCCACUCGUAAGCGCUUCGGUUCCGACUCCAAACGCCCGACGGAGAAGUGGUGUGCUGUUGCUGCACGGUGCAAAGGCGGACCGAAACAAGCUACUACGCUACUACUGCUGGGACGAGUUUUUCUGCUGCAGCCCAACACGGUCGCCUUCAAGGCGGAGCUGCAAAAGCUCGAUUGAUUCGGCGAAACUACACGGCCAAGUCUACUGCUGCUGCUGCUGCUGGAAAAACCCAUUGUGGGCCGGUGUGCGGGUGGUCAAACUUCCGGACAUACAUUUGGAGUAUGGAUUUGUCAUUUGGAGCAUAGCAGCGUUUAAUAUGAACAAUCCAGUUCGGUCGUUCCGCCAGGGAGGGUCGAAUCAAAUAUCAACUGCGGCGUUCGUAUGCUGUGGACGGACCUGUUCAAGAAGGACCUAAGUGCAAGAAAUCGUUACGCCAACAACUGAGUUGCAAGGGGUGGAGAUCCCCCACAAGUUUUUAAGGGCAUUCCAAUUAAUACGUAAGGGUACAGCCAGAGAGGACGCGACACGACGCGGAUUUUCCAUGCGAUUUGACUCCUUUUUUUUUUUUUCUUUGGAUUUGUCUGCUCGACAGGCUAAGACCAUUGGUUGGUCCAUCUCGCGAUUUGACUCCUUAUUAUUGAUUGUUAUUCCUUUGCGUGCAAAUUUCCGCGUCACGUGCCCACUCUGGCCGGCACCUAAAACCAGAGGGGACGCCACAAGUUUUCAAACCAGAGGAAGACGGUAAGAUUUUGCGUUUCGUUUUUUGUCUUUUUUCGGCGUUUUUUUUAGAAUAUGAGUCACGCCGAGAAAAGUUGAAUGGUCGAAUGGAAUGCCGCAAAGUAAGUUUAUUUAGGAUUUGUCUAAAAUUAUGUCCCAAAAAGUAUUUCAACCGUACGAAUAAGUUUAAAAAAAAAUAAUAUAGGGGAACUUACGUAUUUUCGGCAUUUUUCUUCGCCAUGAACAAACCUGCAGAUUAUACCCAAAGUCACCCUACAUAAAAGCGUGUAUAUUUGGUAUAUUUAACUCAGUAUUAGCUUGUUCUCUGUCACUCCACAUGAAUUUUAUCAAAAACGAAAACAGAAGCACUGACCCAUUCAUUAACUGAGUAUAACUUUCCACUGGAAUAAAAUGUUUACCGCCACACGAAAACAACCUAGCACUAUCGCUGUCUGACGAAUUUCUAGUCAUACAACAAAAGAACCCAUAAUAUUGAUUGAUUUGUAGUUCCGUGCAGUUAACGUCACUUGUCUAUGAAAUGAACGCUGUGUCGAUUUUUUUAGUUAAUAUCGAGGUUAAUAUUUAAUUACUUUGCGGUAUUCCCAUGCAGCGCAUUUAUUAUCGGAGAGAGAGAGAGCAUAGAGAGUAAGUAAUUCUACGAAAAGCCGUAAAAUGUAUACUUCAGAAUGAGCACGACCCGUCUAUUUACCAAAUCUAAAAAUAAUAAUGAAAGCAAGAAGUAAUGCUAGUACGUAAGAGUAUGUAAUAGUCGAGGUAAUAGUUUAACAUAAUUGUAAAAUAAUGCAGAAAAAUUUCAAUAUAAAGCCCCUGAGAUUUUCCCGGUUUUGACGAAAAUAUGAAAAGCUUUUAUUUAGAAUUUUAAUUGACUGCAAUCAUUCAAUUCAUAUUAAACUUGUCUAGUGAAACAUAAUUAAAACCAUAUUGAACAACGAGUAGGUGACAGCAUACACUCUAAUAUUAUUUUACACAAGAUAUUCACAAUAGCAGUAGUGGGGACACUACACUUGUUACUGAAUUAGAACCAUCUUUCGCAUUUGGUCGCUUUGCAACGUCUUCUAAUAUAGGAUCGCUCUUCAAGCCUGGAACACAUGCGUGCGUUUGAGUUAAAUUCUAUAGUUAUCCCUUGGAUUAACUAUCAAAUUAGACGCAAUUGCAUGCUGUAUUCCGCAAGCUGUUUAUCAAGUGUCUAUAAGUGCUGCAAUAAUGGUUAAACACGCUGUAAUGUUACAUUGAAUGCAGCUACAUUAGUGGACUAAUAACACUUAGCGCGCUGGGCAUGGUUCCCAUAUGCCGCUCAUAGUGUUGCCACAUAUAAUGCUUAGUUUGCUAAACCCAGUUACCUGGCUGGUGGGGCAUGGCAGCCUAAGUUUCGACCAUCAAUGCAAUCAGACGUUAUUUGAACUACGACGAGCGAUCCAAAUAUUUGAAGAACUAUUCAAACCGAGAUUCAAACUAUAUAGAAGCUUGUGUAUAGUCAACAUUUAACAAACUUAAUCUAUGCAAUAUUUUGCAUUUUAACGUUUCGAACGAUCAUCAAGUAUAGGUUCAACUUGUAGUAUAUCGAGUUUUUUUAGUGCUACAAUAAUGGUUAAACACGCUGUAAUGUUACUUUUGUACCUCAUCACCCACUAAAUGCAGCUACAUUAGUGGACUAAUAACACUUAGCGCGCUGGGCACGGUUCCCAUAUGCCGCUCAUAGUGUUGCCACAUAUAAUGCUUAGUUUGCUAAACCCAGUUAUCUGGCCAGUGGGGCAUGGGAGCCUAAGCUUCAAUCAUUAAUGCAAUCAAAUAUUACUCGAUUUACGACAUGAUUGAUCCAAAUAUUAGAUAAUUGUUCGAUCUGUGUUCUUAAAAUGUAGCCCUUAAUUUAGCAUAAAAUAUAAAUACAAGCUUCUAGUCCAAAUGCAUAAAGAUAGUUCAGAUUCACUGUUUUUCAGAUUUUUUCAAGCAAUCAGUAACAAAACUAAAAAGCAGAAAUAGAUCAAACCAUUCCAAAAUGUUCAUAUUCGUUUGUAAAAUAAAACUAUUCCAAAACAUUAGAAUUUUCUGUUUCACAAUAGAAAACAAUUCCCAAACCAUUGGAUUUACCGUGGGCAAAACAGUAUGUUCCAUAAUCACAAUUGAAAGCAAUUCCAAAACAAUAGAAUCUAAUGUGUAAUUAAGUCACUGCUCAAAGAACAAUAUGAAAACAUAAGAAUCAUCUGUAUCACAAUAGAAAACAAUUCCUAAACCAUAGAACCAAACGUGGAACCAGUAAUAAAAUUACUACUCCAAACAAUA